UGUCAUUUUUUUAAAAAUUGAGACAAAACUUACAUAUAGUAAAUGUACAAUAUAGCUCAAUAACUUUUUACAUAUAGACACAUCUAUAGAACCACCAUCCAAAUGAAGAUACAAAUUUCUAGUGCUUCAGAAGACCACGUUGUGUCCCUCUCAGCCAGUACCAUCUCCACCUCCAACCCAAGGAUGCAAAGAAAAGACAAUCAUCUGCGACAAGGAAGAAGAUCCUUAGGAAAACUCAACGAGGCGGCAUCCUGAUCUCAGACUUCCAGCCUCCAGAACUGUGAGAAAUGCCUGUUUAAGCCAUCUCAUCUACGAUAAUUUGUUAUAAUUGCCUGAACUGACUAUACAUUGUACUAGUAACUUGAUAGAUAAAAAAAAAAUUAGACAAGUCUUUGGCAACCAGCCUGGAAGUCAACACCAGUAACCUACCAAUAUUACCAAUAAAUUCCUCUUUUUUUAUGCUUUAGGCCUCUACUUCAAAUCCCCAAGGGUAGCUGUGUAACAAAAAUGCUAGUGGUGUUAUUUCUACUGAAAUAAAAAGAGGAUCCAAGAGGAAGGGUGACAUUCUGAUGAUGUCUACUGCAGUCUUUUAUCUUUAUGAAAAUUAAGAACUAUAAGUAAUUAGCACAAUAAAUGUAGCUAUUGUCAAACAACAAAGAUUAAUAUGCUAGUAACCGAAAGAGAAGGGAUAACUCAAAGUAAAAAGCUUCUUUAUUUCUACAUUAUUUAACAUUAGCCCCAAUAUGACAAAUUUUCUGCCUUUCAAAAAUGUAUAGGCUAAUUUUAUGGGACAAGUUACACACAAAAUGAGCUUCCAUAAGCACGCAUGAUAAUUCAUGAUAUAAUUAGCAAUUUUUACUUGCAGGCUACAGAAUUUAAUUUCAUCUAAUUUAUCCAGAAAAUUAAAAAGGGUUUAUUGGUUGUUUACUUGUGCUGACUUUUGGAUCCCCAAAAGACCACCAGAAAAACCCAUAGAUCAAGCAAAUCUUAGUUUACCAUAUCUCCUGUACUAAAUAAAGUCAACAACUUGACAGCAUAUUAGUAUUAUCACUGAAGGGCUAUCUUCAAGGGAGGAUAAAUAUGAGAUUUUAGGCCCUGGAUAUAGUCAUUUUAAAGGAAGUCAUCAAGGCAGGGAAUUAUUUGAUUAGAAUUUAUAAUAGAUUGGUGGGGACAGUGAGGCAAGGGCCUUAAAAUGAGCUUUGAUAAGCAAGCUGCUAGUCUUGGUUUUAAUUGUCUCACGAUCUUAUUUUCUGGAGACAAAUAUACUGGAGCAAGCAGCUAAGCAAUAUUUGUUCCACAUCAGUACUGCCUAAUGCAGGCACAGGGAAUUAUGUUGGCUUUAGUUCUCAAUAAAUAGCCUAUAGACUCAAAGGAAGAAAGAAACAACUGAUUUCCAGAAGGUUAGGAACUGGGGUAUCUUAAGGAACAAAAUGGCAUUGAUCCCCCAAAAAUCUCUAGGGCUCCGCGAUCUGGAGCCUUGAUUCUUAUCACAUUUCAUCCCUGAGUAUCUUAGUUUAAGGAUCAAAUUCUCAGGAGGAUGCCAGGCUAUGUGGCCUGCUCUGUGGUCAAGAGGGACAGGGUCUCAAGUUUUAUUCUCCAAAAAAGUCACAUGGAGAGGUAAUUUCCCAAAAGAAGAGAAAUUAAGAAGACAGUAAUAAAAGCUAUCCCUUAUAAUGGUCAAAUCCCUCUCAAACAUCUCUCUCCUCAUAGGUGUUGAAUUUUGGCUGAAAUUGUUUCUUUUAGUUGUUGCUGAACAAUUUAAAUGUAUUUUUUAAGUCAUUUCUUCUUUCCUCUCCUCUGAUUGCUUCCCUACAACUAACUCCCGGGGUCAAAACUUGUCAAUUGUACAUGUGUAAUGAGUUUCUCUCACCCACCCUCUUCCUUUCUAGUCUAUCGAUAUGUGCCCUAAUCUGUUCCUACAGGAUAUUUUUUUCUAAAUUCCUGCAAUGGCCUCCUACAUGUUCUCUACAUUUAUCGAAUCUCUUAUGUACUUCAAAUUAUUAAUGUUCUUGAAGCACAGUUGCAAUUCUUUUAUUCUCAGUUUUUCAUGAGUCAGUCAUUCCCCAUUCCCUAUCACAUAAGUGUCACAUGCUUUGGUCUCACAUCAAAGGCCAGUUACAACUGCCAGCAGCUCUCUAUCUGGACUUACUUUCAGCUACUCACAUUCAUGUUAGCUUUGUUCUAAUUAAACACAUGGCAAUGUUGCCAGGGUACUCCCUUUGAUUUCUUAACUCCAAACUCUUUAAGAACAAAAUGUGGGCCUGAUUCACCUUUACAGUCCCCACUUCCUUCUAUGGCCAUUUGAGUAACUACUCUCAUCCACUGAAACUGUUGCCUUCAAUGCUACUGAUCUGAAAAAGAUCAUGAGGCCAAGUUAGG
rnacentral:lncRNA from 1 species